rnacentral:rRNA from 1 species
AGAGUUUGAUCCUGGCUCAGGAUGAACGCUGGCGGCGUGCCUAAUACAUGCAAGUCGAGCGAACGGACGAGAAGCUUGCUUCCCUGAUGUUGGCGGCGGACGGGUGAGUAACACGUGGAUAACCUACCUAUAAGACUGGGAUAACUUCGGGAAACCGGAGCUAAUACCGGAUAAUAUUUUGAACCGCAUGGUUCAAAAGUGAAAGGCGGUCUUGCUGUCACUUAUAGAUGGAUCCGCGCUGCAUUAGCUAGUUGGUAAGGUAACGGCUUACCAAGGCAACGAUGCAUAGCCGACCUGAGAGGGUGAUCGGCCACACUGGAACUGAGACACGGUCCAGACUCCUACGGGAGGCAGCAGUAGGGAAUCUUCCGCAAUGGGCGAAAGCCUGACGGAGCAACGCCGCGUGAGUGAUGAAGGUCUUCGGAUCGUAAAACUCUGUUAUUAGGGAAGAACAUAUGUGUAAGUAACUGUGCACAUCUUGACGGUACCUAAUCAGAAAGCCACGGCUAACUACGUGCCAGCAGCCGCGGUAAUACGUAGGUGGCAAGCGUUAUCCGGAAUUAUUGGGCGUAAAGCGCGCGUAGGCGGUUUUUUAAGUCUGAUGUGGAAGCCCACGGCUCAACCGUGGAGGGUCAUUGGAAACUGGAAAACUUGAGUGCAGAAGAGGAAAGUGGAAUUCCAUGUGUAGCGGUGAAAUGCGCAGAGAUAUGGAGGAACACCAGUGGCGAAGGCGACUUUCUGGUCUGUAACUGACGCUGAUGUGCGAAAGCGUGGGGAUCAAACAGGAUUAGAUACCCUGGUAGUCC